rnacentral:siRNA from 1 species
UGUAGGACGCAUAAUCUUCUCUA